ensembl:snRNA U1 U1 spliceosomal RNA
AUACUUACCUGGCAGGGGAGAUACCAUGAUCAUGAAGGUGGUUCACCCAGGGCGAGGCUCAGCCAUUGCACUCCGGUUGUGCUGACCCCUGCGAAUUCCCCAAAUGUGGGAAUCUCGACUGCAUAAUUUCUGGUAGUGGGGGACUGCGUUCGCGCUCUCCCCUG